GACGUAGGGGGCCAGCGUUGUUCGGAGUUACUGGGCGUAAAGGGUGUGUAGGCGGUUCGGUAAGUCUGGUGUGAAAUCUCCCGGCUCAACUGGGAGGGUGCGCCGGAAACUGCCAAACUAGAGUGCGGGAGAGGAAAGUGGAAUUCCUGGUGUAGCGGUGAAAUGCGUAGAUAUCAGGAGGAACACCGGUGGUGUAGACGGCUUUCUGGACCGUAACUGACGCUGAAACACGAAAGCGUGGGUAGCAAACAGG
rnacentral:rRNA from 1 species